UACGUAGGGUGCAAGCGUUGUCCGGAAUUAUUGGGCGUAAAGAGCUCGUAGGCGGUCUGUCACGUCGGCUGUGAAAACCCGUGGCUCAACCCCGGGCCUGCAGUCGAUACGGGCAGACUAGAGUGCGGUAGGGGAGACUGGAAUUCCUGGUGUAGCGGUGAAAUGCGCAGAUAUCAGGAGGAACACCGGUGGCGAAGGCGGGUCUCUGGGCCGUAACUGACGCUGAGGAGCGAAAGCGUGGGGAGCGAACAGG
rnacentral:rRNA from 1 species